rnacentral:rRNA from 1 species
UACGAAGGGGGCUAGCGUUGUUCGGAUUUACUGGGCGUAAAGCGCACGUAGGCGGAUCUUUAAGUCGGGGGUGAAAUCCUGGAGCUCAACUCCAGAACUGCCUUCGAUACUGGGGAUCUAGAGUCCGGAAGAGGUGAGUGGAACUCCUAGUGUAGAGGUGGAAUUCGUAGAUAUUCGCAAGAACACCAGUGGCGAAGGCGGCUCACUGGCCCGGUACUGACGCUGAGGUGCGAAAGCGUGGGGAGCAAACAGG